UACAGAGGUGGCAAGCGUUGUUCGGAUUCAUUGGGCGUAAAGGGUGUGUAGGUGGCGCCGUAAGUCGGGUGUGAAAUCUCGGGGCUUAACUCCGAAACUGCAUUCGAUACUGCGGUGCUUGAGGACUGGAGAGGAGACUGGAAUUCAUGGUGUAGCAGUGAAAUGCGUAGAGAUCAUGAGGAAGACCAGUGGCGAAGGCGGGUCUCUGGACAGUUCCUGACACUGAGACACGAAGGCCAGGGGAGCAAACGGG
rnacentral:rRNA from 1 species